GGGCCCGCACAAGCGGUGGAGCAUGUGGUUUAAUUCGAUGAUACGCGAGGAACCUUACCAGGGCUUAAAUGCAGAACGACCGGGGUGGAAACACCCUUUCUUCGGACGGUCUGCAAGGUGCUGCAUGGUUGUCGUCAGCUCGUGCUGUGAAGUGUCGGGUUAAGUCCCAUAACGAGCGCAACCCCUAUUUCUAGUUGCCAGCGGUUCGGCCGGGGACUCUAGAGAAACUGCCAGCGUAAGCUGUGAGGAAGGUGGGGAUGACGUCAAAUCAUCACGGCCCUUACGUCCUGGGCCACACACGUGCUACAAUGGCAAGUACAACGAGUCGCAAUACCGCGAGGUGGAGCA
rnacentral:rRNA from 1 species